AACGAACGCUGGCGGCAUGCCUAACACAUGCAAGUCGAACGAGACCUUCGGGUCUAGUGGCGCACGGGUGCGUAACGCGUGGGAACCUGCCCUUAGGUUCGGAAUACCUCCCCGAAAGGGGUGCUAAUACCGGAUAAUGUCUUCGGACCAAAGAUUUAUCGCCUUUGGAUGGGCCCGCGUUGGAUUAGCUAGUUGGUAGGGUAAAAGCCUACCAAGGCGACGAUCCAUAGCUGGUCUGAGAGGAUGAUCAGCCACACUGGGACUGAGACACGGCCCAGACUCCUACGGGAGGGAGCAGAGGGGAAUAUUGGACAAUGGGGGAAGGCCUGAUCAAGCAAUGCCGGGUGAGUGAUGAAGGCCUUAGGGUUGUAAAGCUCUUUUACCCGGGAUGAUAAUGACAGUACCGGGAGAAUAAGCACCGGCUAACUACGUG
rnacentral:rRNA from 1 species